rnacentral:tRNA from 1 species
GCCGGUAUGGCGGAAUAGGCAGACGCGACGGACUUAAAAUCCGUUUCGACCAAACUCGAGUGCCGGUUCGACCCCGGCUACCGGCA